CGUAGGCGGACAUUUAAGUCAGGGGUGAAAUCCCGGGGCUCAACCUCGGAAUUGCCUUUGAUACUGGGUGUCUUGAGUAUGAGAGAGGUGUGUGGAACUCCGAGUGUAGAGGUGAAAUUCGUAGAUAUUCGGAAGAACACCAGUGGCGAAGGCGACACACUGGCUCAUUACUGACGCUGAGGCUCGAAAGCGUGGGGAGCAAACA
rnacentral:rRNA from 1 species